AUGAACGCUGGCGGCGUGCCUCAUACAUGCCAGUCGCGCGAACAGACGAGGAGCUUGCUCCUCUGACGUUAGCGGCGGACGGGUGAGUAACACGUGGAUAACCUACCUAUAAGACUGGGAUAACUUCGGGAAACCGGAGCUAAUACCGGAUAAUAUAUUGAACCGCAUGGUUCAAUAGUGAAAGACGGUUUUGCUGUCACUUAUAGAUGGAUCCGCGCCGCAUUAGCUAGUUGGUAAGGUAACGGCUUACCAAGGCAACGAUGCGUAGCCGACCUGAGAGGGUGAUCGGCCACACUGGAACUGAGACACGGUCCAGACUCCUACGGGAGGCAGCAGUAGGGAAUCUUCCGCAAUGGGCGAAAGCUUGACGGAGCAACGCCGCGUGAGUGAUGAAGGUCUUCGGAUCGUAAAACUCUGUUAUUAGGGAAGAACAAAUGUGUAAGUAACUAUGCACGUCUUGACGGUACCUAAUCAGAAAGCCACGGCUGACUACGUG
rnacentral:rRNA from 1 species